UCCACUGAAAUUAUUGCUCUUGAGGUCAAUUGUUAUCAGAUUUGUACAGUUGCUCGGAGCAAACGGCAGCUCCCCUGACAUGUUGUUGUUGUUCAAACGGAGGUCCUCCAAUUUCUUGAGUUGUCCUAUAGAAACUGGAAUCUUGCCGCUGAAGCUGUUCCUUUCAAGAUCAAGGGUUACAAGACUUCUGAGGUUGGUUAUGUUGUACCAUCGAUAGCUCCAUGUAAAUCAUUGUUAGGCAAUGACAGGUACUCCGAUGAUUUUGCGUUGAAGAGUUCAUUUGGGAUUACUCCAGUGAGGUUGUUGUAUCCAGCCCCGAGCUCUCUAGCCUGGAGCAAUUACCAAGACUUGGGGGGAUGCUGCCACUGAAUUCGUUGAAACACAGUUCAAACACAGUGAGGGUGGUGAGGUACUACAGAGUUGAGUUGGUAUCUGCCCAGUAAAGCUGUUAUUGCUGGCAUUGAGUGUGACCAGAUUCCCCAUUGUGAUGGAUGGAAAGUGUCCUAUAAAUAAAUUGCUUGAGAUGUUCAGUACCUGGAGAGUCUGGGGCAGGGCCGAAGAGGGCAACUCGUGGAGUGUUCCAUUGAGAUGGUUAAAGCUGACAUCAAGGAUUGUGAUGCUGCUGGACGACACCAAUUCUGAUGGUAGACCGCUGGAGAGUGAGUUGUGAGAGAUAUCAAGGUGCUGCAGCGCGUCGAGGAUCCCAAGGGACCGUGAGAUGUUCCCCUCGAGGCCCUUAAAAGGCCACAGCACAUGUGUGAUCGUCCUAUCUUGCCCACAGGUGAUCCCUUCCCACUUGCUGCAUCCGUGUCGUUCUCCCAUGAAGUAGCGAGUCCACCGUUUUGUGAGAGCCCGACGAGGAACUGGAGAAGGGAGCCCCUCUCCUGCUUCGUGAGGAGCUGGUGAGAGAGGCCAAGGAGAUGAGUAGCACAAGAGCAAGGGCAAAUGAAGGCAUGUGCCAUUUCUUGGUGUGUGUGUUGCUUGAAAACUGGAGUGUCUGCAUGGUUUGGUGGUGAAACUAGCAUGGAAACAAGAGCAUAAAUGGUUGUCUAUUAAUUCAAGAGCUUGAGGGGAAAGAAGAAGCCGUCAUUUUGUUGUGCUUCUUGCAGUCGUUGUCAGCACAAAGGAAAAACGGUUGGUUCGGACUCUGAACAUUAUAAUUGGAUACUAAGCGUGCAAAAUCUUUCUUUUGUAGUCGUCCACUAUUUCGGACUCAAUCCAUGUAGAAUGUUUACCACGAGCCAUAAAUUAUUUCUCUGAUCAAUCACUUCUUGAUAUACCCCGGGAGGAUUGAGCUGGAACCAUCUCCGUUGAGCACUCCGGGAACUACCACCAGGGACGAUCAUCGAGGAACCAACACCAUCGAGGAUGACAGGCUGCAGCCGUGGACGAAUGUCGUGGCCGCGCCUGCUCAGUGUCAGCCUCCCAUCCAUGUUGUGUUCCAAGCAGCCGAAGAACUCGUACAGGUGCACGACUCUUGCGACCUGGCAGUUGAAAUUGAUGUCCCAAUCUUCCUAGUUGUUGUUAGGUGUAGUAUUCGUGAAUCUAUGAGAGGAAUAUGGAAUCAUCUCAUCUUCAUGCUACUUCCAGUCAACUAAGCUUACUUAUUUAUUUAGUUUGUAGUUCAUUUUUAUUACAGGAGGUGAUUUGAAUUAAAACAAAAAUUCUGUGGUGUCUGCGGUCUGCCUAAAUCAAAUUUCCAUCUCUACAUUAAUGAAUAGGUAUGGAGUUGCACACUGUUACUUCAAAACACCAAGAUUGUUUGAUGCUUGCUACAUAGUAAUGAUUAAUCACUAAAUAGAAUAUCUGUUUUCUUUAAUAAGUGUUAUGUACAUAAUCGUAAAUUGGGCAAACAUGGAUGACGUAUAACUCCAUGAUGGAAUUUAUUGCCGAAUCAAAUUUUGUAUAUGUACACGAAUACAAAUUAAACUCCUGGAUGGAUUUGCAGAGUAUGAGCCAUCCAUGGGACAAAACAACGUGGCAAAUAGUCUCAAAUGGCACAGAUGGGGUCGAAAGAGCACAUGGACAUUUGGGCUCCAUCUGGACCAAACUGCCAUUGUCAUGAGAGCCAAAACAAAUUUUCACUGAAAAGGUUUUUCUGUGCUACUCCUUGCUACUCCUUGUUAUGUAUUGACUCGCAAAUAGAUCCAGGUGAAUGUCUAUGCUACUGUUUCUCUUCGGAAAAAAAUAGAUCCUGAUAAAUGGAUGUAUAUCUAUGCUGGAUGAUCGUCAUUCUUUUGCAAGUCAUAAUAUGCAUCUAUACAACUCAAAUAUUCUAGAAGGAUGUUGACCAACUAACCAUGUAUUAAUUGUAUAGUAAAAUUCGUUAUUUUAUUUCUACCCAAACUGAGUUCUAACAAUAAAUAUAUAAUUCUGGUACAGGCUUCCGAGGACAGUUACACCAAUUCUAGAGCAUAUAUUGUCCUCAAUCCUCCUGAUUUUCCUACCAUCAUUUCCAUAGUAUUCGAGUUGUAAAGCCCCGGCCUGUGGUAUGUGAUUAAUAUUGGGUUCCUGACCUUGAAAAGUUUAUUGGCUGAAUAGUACUUGAUUCUAUCAUGUUUGUGUAGGGUGAAUUGUUUUUGCCGGAAAAUAUCGUCACAUGUAUCAUUUUAGUAUGGUAUUUAUGUCUUAGGGUGCGGGAAAUAAAUGUACUCCCUCGGUAAAGAAAUAUAAGAGCAAUUAGAUCACUACUUCAGUGAUCUAAACGCUCAUAUAUUUCUUUAUAAAGGGAGUACUAAACUAUUUCUUCCAUGUAGGCUACUAUGACUUAGAGGAAGUAAUUGUUUCUGAUGAAUUGUGAAAUCUAGGCGCCAUGGAUGACAACUGUUCGAGCAGUUAAUCAUAUCUUAUUUUGUAUACCAUUCUACUUAGAUUGUGAACUGUUAUGUGAACUGGAGAAGUGACUAUCUUUUUUAUAUAACUAAAAUGCAGGAUCUAACUGAAUAGUUUGUCAUGUCCAUGAAUCGGCUGUUUCAUUGAGCCUGGUCUGUAUCCACAUAACCAUGAGACAAAAUAUUUCAUCCAGUAAUUAGUGGACAUAUCGAAUACGGAGAAUCAACAUCACAGUUCUGAGGAGCUUCAUUUCCCAAAAUGUCUGGAGCAUAUCAUCUUGAUCAUUUUUGAAGGAUGGGUGCUGGACUUGGCACAUUUUCGAGAGGAGUACACUCUCAAUAAAUGUUGGUUUCUGAUGGAAUUAUGUAUAUGUAUCAUGCGCCCCUAUCAAUUGAACACGGGAAACAACAAUGGUUAUUAUGUUAUUCUCUUGUGGUUGUGCAAAUGCCGGAAGAAUUGUCACCUUGUAUAUUUCUUAUUGUGCUUGGAGAAGUGCUUGUUGAAAUGACUUAGUUAUAUCAAUUAGUCAUUGGUACUAAAAUUGCACGUACCCAUGAAAUACAAAUGACCAAG
rnacentral:lncRNA from 1 species